UAACGAAUAUUCCGCAAUGGGCGCAAGCCUGACGGAGCAAUGCCGCGUGUAGGAUGAAGCCCCUCGGGGUGUAAACUACUGUCAGGGGUCACCAACAAAAUGAGGAACCCCAGAGGAAGGGUCGGCUAACUCUGUGCCAGCAGCCGCGGUAAUACAGAGGACCCAAGCGUUAAUCGGAAUCACUGGGCUUAAAGGGUGCGUAGGCGGAUCGACAAGUGCUUUGUGAAAUCCCACAGCUUAACUGUGGAAU
rnacentral:rRNA from 1 species